UAGACAGCCGGUUCCGUAUGGACAUUUUGACCCCUGCACUUUCCAGCGUUUGAACAUUUUUUAACGUUGACUGCCCACUCCCGGAAUGCCCUCUAGUAGUAGAAGGUAUUGUCAUACAAUGAAUGGUAUUAUAAUUUUUUUUUUCAUAUAUAUACUAUGGACAUUCCUCGAUGGCAUCAAGUUGCAACCGGAAAGCGAUGAUCACACGGCAAAUCAAAUCCUGAAGACUAUAGCAGCCACGUCAAAGAAAGAUAUACCUAUCUACCUACCUACCUACCUACCUAUUAAAAAAAAUGUUUAUUCUUUCUCGUUUGAUAUGGAGUGCGCAAAAGAAUUGCACGACCUGAUCCCAGCUUUCCCUUUCCGGACGUCCAGGCGCGAGGAGCGAAUGCACCCGUUCGUUGUUAAUAUUCCAUUUGUCCGCACAAAACGAUUUGCCUCAUCUUUUUUGGUAAGGACGAUUAAGGAAUGGAAUGCGCUUCCGUCAUCUGUGUUUCCUGGGAAAUUUGACCUCGGUCUCUUUAAAGCAAGAGUGAAUAGGCUAUUACUUACUGAGCCGGUAAGCUCCAUCAUCUUAGGCUCUGUUUUCACUUUCCAUCAGGUGUGACUAGAGCCAAUGCCCGUUCAGUUUAUUAUAAAAAAUAUAUAUACAAAGAG